ensembl:lncRNA
CAGAGCUUCACAAACAGACUUAAUGCCUUCAUGGAGGUGAUCAUUCACAGAGGAGGAUCGCUUUCUCUGAUAAGGCAGGACUAUUCCACCUCAGCUAAUGUGUGAUUCUUAACACAUUUUCCUGUAUUUGCAGUGGAUUACAAGCUUUAAAAUAUCAACAAGGGAGACGAGAAUCUUCUGCCGAAACAUGGAUGCAGCAGGAGGACUAGAGAGAAGGCACGCCACAGCAACUAGGAAAAUCGUAGGACAAUACCGCAUCGGGGAAUGCUCGGAUUACUGGCCGCAUUUUUCAUCCGUGCAAUUUCCCCAAAGGUAUGCCAUUGAAUUGCCGCCAGAGACAGCGGGAUUGGGGAGCUACCCGCUGGAGUUUCUCUUCAGCUGCCAGGAGUAUUUCUGCAGCUUGGCGGUUCCCAAGCCUACUAAGAGAGAGUGGAUCGGGUUCCUGGUGUCCAGGUUUUGCGGCCCGGCCCGUGACUGGGUGGAGCAGCUGGUGAGUGCUGGGUCGCCAGCCCUCCAUGAUGUCACUCAGUUUACAGAGCUGUUUAUGGAGGAGUUUUCACAGCCUGGACAACUUCGUGGUCUUGAUUUACUGGGGUGGAGAGCCAAUGGACAGCCCCAGGUUGACCCACCAUUCAACCUCUAUUAUGAGGAGAUGGACAGGGCAGCAACCAGCGAUUCACUUCAGUUUCCGGCCAACACGGGGGCGAAAUCCCCGAGAUGUAUGACCGAGGGCUGCGGGAGAGAGACUCAACUUCAAUGUCCCACUUGCAGGAAGCUGGGCCUCCAGGAAGCUUUCUUCUGCUCUCAGGAAUGCUUCAAGAGCAGCUGGCAGGAGCAUAAGAAACUCUACCGGAGAGCCCGUGCAGAGACCCAGCCUGGGACCGACAGGGUGACCUCAGAGCUCGAACCUGAGCCCCACGAGGUGGGCUCACCCGCCAAGCUCCAACAAAAGGUCCAAAUCCAAGUCAAGUCUCACGUCCCUGAGAUCCAGGUCAAGUCUCACGUCCCUGAGAUCUAGGUCAAGUCUCACGUCCCUGAGAUCCAGGUCCAGCCGCCAGCCCCUGAGCUCCAAGCCAAGCCUCCAGUCCCUGAGCUCCAAGCCAAGCCUCCAGUCCCUGAGCUCCAAGCCAAGCCUCCAGUCCCUGAGCUCCAAGCCAAGCCUCCAGUCCCUGAGCUCCAAGCCAAGCCUCCAGUCCCUGAUGUCCAAGUCAAGCCUCCAGUCCCUGAUGUCCAAGUCAAGCCUCAAGUCCCUGAGAUCCAAGUCAAGCCUCAAGUCCCUGAGAUCCAAGUCAAGCCUCCAGUCCCUGAGAUCCAAGUCAAGCCUCAAGUCCCUGAGAUCCAAG